GCACCCGUAGCUCAACUGGAUAGAGCAUCGGUCUACGGAACCGAAGGUUAUAGGUUCGAAUCCUAUCGGGUGUA
rnacentral:tRNA from 1 species